AACGAACGCUGGCGGCAUGCCUAACACAUGCAAGUCGAACGAAGGCUUCGGCCUUAGUGGCGCACGGGUGCGUAACGCGUGGGAACCUGCCCCUUGGUUCGGAAUAACAGUUAGAAAUGACUGCUAAUACCGGAUGAUGACGAAAGUCCAAAGAUUUAUCGCCGAGGGAUGGGCCCGCGUAGGAUUAGCUAGUUGGUGAGGUAAUGGCUCACCAAGGCGACGAUCCUUAGCUGGUCUGAGAGGAUGAUCAGCCACACUGGGACUGAGACACGGCCCAGACUCCUACGGGAGGCAGCAGUGGGGAAUAUUGGACAAUGGGCGAAAGCCUGAUCCAGCAAUGCCGCGUGAGUGAUGAAGGCCUUCGGGUUGUAAAGCUCUUUUACCAGGGAUGAUAAUGACAGUACCUGGAGAAUAAGCUCCGGCUAACUCCGUGCCAGCCGCCGCAGUAAAAC
rnacentral:rRNA from 1 species